CCUCCUUGCCACAGAAGGGGAUAAAGCCCCCACAGUGCAUGUGAGAAAUGUGUUAGGGAAGAGUGUCUGGACUAAGAUUUGCAAAGGCAAAUCUAACCCUAGGAAUUCUCCAAGAAUCCUCUUCUAUGAAAUUACUGAAGUAUAUCUGAAGUUCUAGUCCUCCAAAGAAAUACUCACUGAAGCAAAUUACAUUGGACUCUUCAAGAGACUUUUCAAAAGCAGAUACUGUAAAAUCACAGUGUGUGCUUCUGGAUGCUGUGGAAGAUAUCCCCACAACUACUGGCCCAGCAGUAUGUGCCUCGCAGAGCCUUUCCUUCCCAGAAGGCAAUCAGCUCCACGUUUCCCCUGUUUGCUGUCACAGCCAGCUGCAGAGAGCUGCAGAGGGGGGUACCUGUGUGGCAGGAGUCGCUGUGCUGCUGCAUUUCCACUCUCUCUAAAACAGCUUGAGUUGGAGGCCCCUCUAACAUUCAGGAACUCCUUGAUUUCCCUUUGAGCACCAUCUUUGCACAAAAGCGUGUCCAGAAGCCACAGUGUAACUCCCAAGGUGUUUGACAGCCCUUUGGAAAGAAAGUUCACAUAGCUCUCAUUAUUGUUGACAAUGACAAUGUCAGUGAUAAUGUUAAUCACCCUUUCUGGUGAUCUAAAUCUGAGGGGCUUAGAGAUUCAGAACUAAUCCUUAAGCGCUUUGUUACUGCCUUCCUGCCUUCAUCUUGUUGGGUACCUUCCCAGACUUAUUAUAUCAUUUACAUGUUAUACAAAUCUAUGUCAAUAAAGCUUUAAGCUAUGCCUUGUCCACUUUUUUCUCUGCAUGAAUAAUCAUCUCCUGGCUAAAAAAAUGUUUCUAAAAUGCAAUUUAUCUCCUCUACAAGAGCAUACUACCCCUUAUUUGGUAGAUAACAUAUAUCUUGUAUUUUGUGAAUUCUACCUUUAUGAUGAUGGCAACAUAAAAUUGCCACCAGAUAUAUUAAUUUGUGCUAAUUCCUACUAUAUUAAUUUAAUCCAAUAUUAUUCAC